AGACGUCUUAUCUUCUCCAUUGACGCCACUGCCUUUUCUUCUCCAUCUCUCUCGAAUCUCGAUCUCAGACCCAUCUCUCUCGAUCUCAAACCCAUCUCUCUCUCUCUCUCUCUCUCGAACCCAGCUCUCUCUCUCUUUCGUUCUCUCGAUCUCUUGAAGCUCAUCUCAUCUCACUCUCUCGAACCCUUUGUUCAAAUAGUGGUCUGAGCUUCUGGUCUGAGCUUUCUACAGUUUUCUCAGCUUUACUUGAUGCUCUUGUGCUGUGCGCUCAGGAACCUUUGUUCAAAAUAGUGGUCUGAGCUUCUGGUCUUACCUUGUAGCUGAGUUAUCCGAGAAGCAUUACAAGUACUCUUAGGAGGGACAGCUUGAUGAUGUGACAGUAAUCGUUGCCCAAGUGUUGGACUCUUGAGUCUAUGUGAUCUUUUCUCAUUAUUGUCUUGUUGUACAAAGAAACUUGUCAUUGUAUUGGAAAAUCUGUAUUAAAAGAACUGAUUUUUUUUAUCAUUGUGAAUGAAUCAAUGAACACUCUUUCAAAGCU